UCCAAUUGCUGGACCUCAGUUGUCACAUGA
rnacentral:piRNA from 1 species